AGCUCCAAUAGCGUAUAUUAAAGUUGUUGCAGUUAAAACGUUCGUAGUCGAUUGUUUUCCUGCUUUUCAAUUUGGCCUUCUGGCCACGAUUACGAAGUGGGACGUGUGAGAGGCUCCUCUGGCGAGUUGGCUCUUGCGAACUUUGAGUGAAUCAGCUUGUUCAAAGCGGGUUUGACCUUGCAUGAUCACCAUCGUCUUCGAAGAUUCUCAUCUCUCGCUUAGUGCGUGUUGAAGGGGGUUGGAAACCCAUAAGAGCGGUUGAGGGCACUUGUAUCUGACUGUUAGAGGUGAAAUUCUUUGAUCAGUCGGGGACAGACUGCUGCGAAAGCAUUUGCCACAGACGUGUCUG
rnacentral:rRNA from 1 species